UUCCCAGUUGUCAAGGUCAAACCUGGGCUGGAUAUUGUGAUGUCACAGAGUGGAAUCCUCACUCCUCCAGAUGGUCCAGCUGAGGCCCUCUUGGACAACACUUCCUCUCCUGCCCAUGGUGGGAGGUUGGGAAGGACAUUCCCCCAUUUCCAUUUGCUCUGCCAUUCAAAACCUUGUGAGGGCCCUCAGGGAAGAAUCCCUUUGCAGAUGAGGAAACUGAGGCCCCACGUGGUGAAGACAAUUUUUACCCGAAUCCACCCACAACAAGAGACCAUUUGGAUAAUGUACAUUAUGGGAAGAGAACAGAGUCUCAGUGAAGAUCAUGUUUCCCCAGCAACACAGGUGCCAGGAGUAGCUGGCUCUGGUCCCAGCCCAGACUCAGAAAUCCUGAGCCACCAGACCAUUUCUAGAUUAACAAUGACCCACUGGAAACCAGUGUCAGCAUAACAACAGUUACGAGAGCUAAACCUACAAAAUAGGUUUUCUUUGAUGGCAGUUCUGCUCUAAAGAUGGAUAAGGAAGGAGGUUCCAAGAUGGCCGAAUAGGAACAGCUCCAGUCUACAGCUCCCAGCAUGAGCAACGCAGAAGACAGGGGAUUUCUGCAUUUCCAAUUGAGAACACAGGAGCUAUGUGGAGAGUUGAUGGAGGGACAUUCCAGGCAGAGAGAACAGCAAACACAAAGGCCUUGAAGGGAGCGGUGGCUUACAUCUGCAAUCCCACCACUUUGGGAGGCUGAGGCAGGUGGAUUGCUUGAUCUCAGGAGUUCGAGACCAGCCUGGGCAAUGUGGUGAAACCCAGUCUCUACCAAAAAAUACAAAAAUUAGCCGGGCAUGGUGAGCAUGCCUCUGGUCCCAGCUACCCAGGAGGCUGAGGUGGGAGAAUCACUUGAGCCUAGAAGGUCAAGGCUGCAGUGAGCCGUGAUUGAGCCACUGCAUUCCAGCCUGGGUGAU
rnacentral:lncRNA from 1 species